UUAACAUGUACGCGAGUCAUUGAGCUUUACGAAACCCAAAGCCGCAGUGAAGAUAAAGGUUUAGCUUAUCCAGGCUGAGGUGUGAUCCUGUUGUUUUGCCCAUUAAUUCCAAGCUGUAAGCAGCAGGCGCAUCACCGGCCCGUCCCAUGACGUAGACAUACGGCCUUGUGCUAUGUGCACCGUCGGGGCGGAGCAACAGCGUACAUGCUAAGACGUACAUGAAAGAUGGUGAACUAUACUUGCGAAGGUUGAAGCCAGAGGAAACGCUGGUGGAGGACCGUAGCGAUUCUGACGUGAGAAUCCAAGUUGAUCACGGAUUGAUAUCAGUUAGACAACUAUUGAGAACCAG
rnacentral:ncRNA from 1 species